GACGAACGCCGGCGGCGUGCUUAACACCGCAAGUCGAACGUGAUUUUUGUGGAAAUUCUUUCGGGAAUGGAAGUAAAAUGAAAGUGGCGAACGGGUGAGUAACACGUGAGCAACCUACCUUACACAGGGGCAUAGCCGUUGGAAACGACGAUUAAUACCGCAUGAGACCACAGUACCGCAUGGUAUAGGGGUCAAAGAUUUAUCGGUGUAAGAUGGGCUCGCGUCUGAUCAGCUAGUGGAAGGGUAAAGGCCUACCAAGGCGACGAUCAGUAGCCGGUCUGAGAGGAUGAACGGCCACAUAGGAACUGAGACACGGUCCAAACUCCUACGGGAGGCGGCAGUGGGGAAUAUUGCACAAUGGGGGGAACCCUGAUGCAGCGACGCCGCGUGAGCGAAGAAGGUUUUCGAAUCGUAAAGCUCUGUCCUAUGAGAAGAUAAUGACGGUAUCAUAGGAGGAAGCCCCGGCUAAAUACGUGCCAGCAGCCGCGGUAAUACGUAUGGGGCGAGCGUUGUCCGGAUUUAUUGGGCGUAAAGCGCGUCUAGGCGGCAAGGAAAGUCUGAUGUGAAAAUGCGGAGCUCAACUCCGUAUGGCGUUGGAAACUGCCUUACUAGAGUACUGGAGAGGUAGGCGGAACUACAAGUGUAGAGGUGAAAUUCGUAGAUAUUUGUAGGAAUGCCGAUGGGGAAGCCAGCCUACUGGACAGAUACUGACGCUAAAGCGCGAAAGCGUGGGUAGCAAACAGG
rnacentral:rRNA from 1 species